ensembl:lncRNA
GGAUAAGGGAGCACGUACAGCCUGUCUGGUGCUGAGACAUGGCUUGUGGAUGUGUCCACCGGCUGUCUGCAGACUGAUGUCAUGUUAGCUGAAAGAGCUGGAUCUCAGACUAAGUUACUUGGGUCCACUGAAUUAAAGCACCGAUGCCCACGUGUGGUAGAGGUCAAUCAGGGCUCUGCUCACGGGCUGGGACAGGGAAGAGAAAGCCUAAUCUAGCCAAAAUACCGACUGCUCACAGUAUCAGAUAUUCUUUGGUAGCCUUCAAGGCUAACCCUAGUGCUGCUGGAGAUAAGCAGUAAGGAUGAACUUCAUGAUAGACUGGACUUAAAUGCGCAGCUACUGAGAUUUUCCUCAUGAGAGUUAAGAGUUCACUCACCUUGGUAGUGCUGCGUCCUGCUAGAGUUCUCCCUGAGAGUGUCUUCCACAGAAGAGUGCUUCUGGUCAUCAGAAAUGAGCAUAUCCAGGUCAUAAAAUACACUGUGAGGUGAAUUGUGAUGUACUGCAGCUGUUACAGCCUUCAACUGCUUAAAUUUGUCAUGGAUAAAAUAAUUCUCCUGGAUUUUGGAAUAUAUAUUUACAUGAACAUAAUGGAAUACGUAUGUUUCAAAUGCAUUAUUAUAUUUGGUAAGUAUUUCAUGUAUAUUUCUUAUAAUUAAGUAUUUAUAUUAAUGAAUCAGUGAGUAUUCUUUAACACAAACAUCUCAAAACACGCAAGGAAAGCCAGACUUUACUAUGUUGCCAUUAUCUUUGCUGUGAUGGAAAAAUUUCCCAACAGUUCCAGCUGAUAAAACUGAAAGCCUUGGUUGGAUUUCAGAGGGGGAAGACAACACGAUUUUCAAAAACAUUUUAUUAAAAAAAAACCCACUCUUAUGUUUUAAAAUGAUUAAUUUUUUCAGUUGCCCCGAAGUGUUGGGGACAAAGUCUGGACAUUUUGAUAGAAUCUCGAUGACAACUUCUGUGGGAAGAAAAAGCACUCGAAGUUCCUCACGCAUAUAAAUAUGCACGCAUAAAAUAUAUAUAAUUUAAUUCAGACGGUGGUGGUAGAGGUUAUUCAGAGAUAGCGUGGACCAUUAAUCAUUAGAGGCUUUCAAGUAUCAGGUGGAGCUAUGGCCAACUCACUAGCUUGAGUAGAAUACAGAUCCUACUGAUUUCAGCAGGGGUACAUGGCUAAAAGUCAGCCCUUAACAGGAGUGGUAUUUUUCAGGGGUCUCUGGUGAGUCUGAUGAGCUUGGAGGCAGAGGUAAGUCAUCACCUCCACUGGGAUCUGUCAAAACAAACUCAGCAAUUCAGAUCCAGGUUUUGUGAGUGGCAUUGAAAUCCCAGAUUAUUUUACAAAUGAAGAAAAACUUUAUGCAAUUCUAUUUGAAUUUUCUUUCACCUUAUAUCACGGGCACAAUAAUCGUUUGUGAAAUUGUGAAGCAGAAGAAUGACAGGUGACUACACAUAAUGGCAACUUUCAUGACAGAAGACGUGAGGUACAAGGAGGAAAUCAAAAACAUAUGUCAAAGAGAGAGCUACUUUACAAGUACUGGAAGAAUCUGGCUCUGACUUUCAUACAACUUAGGAAAAAUUGCCCAGGUUGGAAAAGGCUCCCCGUGUGCUCAGCAGAAUACACAGAAUACAGUGCUGGUGCACAAAGACACUGAAAACAAAGCAACAAAAAGGUAAGACAAAUGUGGGAACACGUAGUACGGGAGAGAGAAAUUGUUAUGAAAACAAGGUAUGGCCUGUAGGCUAAUAGAAAUUAAUAUAAUUAGGAGCAUAUGAAAUGUUCAUAAAAUUAGGACAGGGAGAGCCUUUUUAAAAAUUAUUUUUAAGUGAAUUAGUUAAGAAUAAAAACCUUUUUUUUUUUUUUCCUGAUGAGCAACAGUGAGCACAGAACUUGAGGUGUUCUCUAGAAGUGGGACUUCUGAAUUGCUUUGGGCUGCUUUUUCAUGUCAGUGCAAACUUAACAGGUGAGGAACUUCCAUUCAGCCCCAGUCUGAAGCAGAACAGGAAUUAACUUCUUACCACAACAAACAGUUUUUCGGUGGAUUCAGGUUUAGGUGUAUCUGAGUUCACAGUUCCUUCUCUGACUGAUGCAUAAAAUGCAUCUGAUUCAAAAAUUUUAAUAAAGGACAGCUCUUCCGUGAUGCAUUUGUUUAAGAAUUCCCUAAACUUAAUUUUAAUACAUAAUAUGAGAUCUUUUAGGGGUUUUGUAGUUUUCCUGGAGAGCCAACUAUAGCACUCAGCGUGUCUCUUAGCAACCUGCCAAAACAAAGCUCUGCUCCAAUUACUUGUAAUCUGCCAACAGUUUGAGCCAAAUUCCUCCAGUAAGAGUAAGCACAACCAUACCAUGCUGCAUGUAGUUUCCCACUGUCCAAUGACAAGGUUUGUCCCAACUUCCUACUACAUUUUGCUCCUGGGAGUAGACUUACGGAAUAACCCCCAGUUUCAUAUCACUGCAAGAUUAAUUUAUUUCAUCCUUUGGGUUCCUGCCUCAGGGGCAACAGAAAACCAAGUACCACACAGGACUCAAACCUGGGGCACAGCCAACAGCAGCAACAGGAGUUGGAGUCAAGCAGUGCUUCAUACAUCCCAAUUCCUCCAUUGCCCUGUCAUGGCAACCUAUAGAGCACCCUUGAAAGACGUGGAAAUUAGGACCUUUCCUGAUGAACACAUGCCUGAUGGUUAUUUAUCUAGUCAUUUUACACUGCUGUAUGCAAGCUAGUCAAGAAGAGGGUAGAUGUGGCACUGAAGGACAUGGUUGAUGGUAUGGUGGUGAUGGUGGGUGGUUGGACUAGAUGAUCUUAAUGGUCUUUUCUGACCUUAACAACUCUACAGUUCUAAAUGUAGCCAUCUGAGUCAUUUCCUUCUAAAAUGAACAAAACAGUUGUUUGAGUUAUUAACAUGGGGCAUAGAAAAUUGUUGUUACUUUCUAAAAAAAAACCCUCAAAAAGCAGCUGUAAGUUCCCUAAUGGGCUGCCACAUGGUUGUAAUGGAAAGCAUCCCAAGGUGUCAGUGGAAUGAACGUACCUCUAGAUAAAUCCUAACAGCCACGUUCUCAUCUUUGCUAUUGAGAGCUGAAAAGGCACUGGCUGUAUUUUCAGUGUACCUAAAAAAAAUAGGAGUUGCCCUGUGUUUGGAGUCUUACAGACAAGUACUUAUUUGUCUUCGGCAGUUGUCCCUGUUUUGUGUUCCACUGCAAAUAAGGAGCUUAGUCUGAGGAUAAUUCAAUCCAGCACUGCAUCUCAGAGCUCUAGCGACAGGCGUGAAAUUGUUUUAUCUUUUUUGUUCUCGGUGCGCGGCGCUCAUUGGGUGAGCAUGCGGACCAUCUGCUGCCGAGGUAACUCUGGGGAUCCUUG